AACUGAUACUACCUGCGGGAACCUGCGGAGGGAUCAUUACCGAGUUGCAAAACUCCCAAACCACUGUGAACCUUACCAAUCGUUGCUUCGGCGGACCCGCCCCGGCGCUAUCGCGACCGGACCCAUGGCGACCGCCGGGGGAGAAAACACAAACCCUUUGAAACCCUGUGGAACCAUCUGAGUGGCGAAAGCCGAAAGAAAAUACAAUCAAAACUUUCAACAAUGGAUCUCUAGAUCGGA
rnacentral:misc_RNA from 1 species